rnacentral:rRNA from 1 species
CAGUCGCCACGGUAAAACAGAGGGUGCGAGCGUUAAUCGGAUUUACUGGGCGUAAAGCGUGCGUAGGCGGCUAAUUGAGUCGGAUGUGAAAUCCCCGAGCUUAACUUGGGAAUUGCAUUCGAUACUGGUUAGCUAGAGUGUGGGAGAGGAUGGUAGAAUUCCAGGUGUAGCGGUGAAAUGCGUAGAGAUCUGGAGGAAUACCGAUGGCGAAGGCAGCCAUCUGGCCUAACACUGACGCUGAGGUACGAAAGCAUGGGGAGCAAACAGGAUUAGAUACCCCAGUAGUCCCUGUCUCUUAUAC